rnacentral:rRNA from 1 species
AUUGAACGCUGGCGGUAUGCCUUACACAUGCAAGUCGAACGGUAACGGGCCUUCGGGUUCCGUCGAUUGUCGAACGGGUGAGUAAUACAUUGGAACGUGCCCGACCGUGGGGGUUAUCGCGGCGAAAGUUUUGCUAAUACCGCAUACGAUCUACGGAUGAAAGCAGCGGACCGCACGACCUUGAGGGGCCGGGGUGUCCGAUGGCAGAUUAGGUAGAUGGUGCGGUAAAAGCUUACCAAGCCGACGAUCUGUAGCUGGUCUGAGAGGAUGAUUAGCCACACUGGGACUGAGACACGGCCCAGACUCCUACGGGAGGCAGCAGUGGGGAAUUUUGGACAAUGGGCGCAAGCCUGAUCCAGCCAUGCCGCGUGGAGGAUGAAGGCCUUCGGGUUGUAAACUGCUUUUGUACGGAACGAAAAGCCUUCUUUUAAUACAGGAGGGUCAUGACGGUACCGUAAGAAUAAGCACCGGCUAACUACGUG